rnacentral:lncRNA from 1 species
UAUUAUUCACAUUUGGAGAUGAGGAAAAUUAAUUUUCUCAAGGUUACACAGUCACAGGAUUUCAACCCAGCCUUUCUGACUUCAGAGCCUAAUCCAAUACUUCUUUUCUGCUAAAGUAGAAAACACAGGCAUACAGGUUUGGAGUUAACUCACCAGGGAGAUUUUUGUGGUUUUUUGUUUGUUGGGGUUUUUGUUUUGUUUUGUUUUGUUUUGUUUUUGUGGACUGGUCCAGACUAGGCUGUCUGUAUAGAGCUUGUCUAACGUAUGUCAACCGAGCUACAUCCCCAGCCACCAGGAGAAUUUUGAGUUAACUGAACUCAGAUGAGUAGUAAGGGCAGACUAUAGUUAGACUACUCAAAUUCCUAAGCCAGCUCCAUCACUAGUACCUGUGACUUUUGGGGUAAGUUACUUGGUAUCUGUUCCUCAGUUUUUUCCAUCUAAAAUCUGAGUAAUAACAGUACUUAUUUUGUGGGGGUUAUUAUGAGGAUUAAUUAUGUCAAGCACUUAGAACAGUAACUAUUACAUAGUAAUCACACAAAAAGUGUUAGCUUCUCAGUAAAAAAGUUAACACCCGAAGUUUUGGGAGAAAUGAGGGGAGUAUUGUGUAAGGAAUACUAGAUUUAGAAAAUCUGGGACAGGGCCAAAAAAAAGAGGACAUGAAGUUAAAAGACUGAAAGUAUGAUUAAGAACAAAAUGUUUUUAAAAGAAUAAAAAUCUCUGAUUUAGGAAAGUGGAAAAAAUUAAACCUGACAUUCCUUCAGAGACUUAACAACACUUUAUAAAUAAUUCAUUCUGGAAUAGAUAGGAUAUAGAUGGUGCUAUCCUAUAUUAUAAACACAAAAUGUAAUUGCU